CCCAUUCUACUAGAUACCUGACUCAGCCAAAUUUGUAUAGUAAUGAGUGAGGCAAAUUUCUACGCGGCCGCCAUUUGCAAAGGUGGCAAAAGCACAAUGGCGGCAUAUAAAAACAUUAAGUCUGUGCUGAGAGAAAUCGACUUUGAGAGCGUUUUUAUGAUGCUGUUCUACUGAAGUUGCAUUAAAAAUGGAUUUACAUUUCCUUGGUUGUGGUGUGGAUGUUCAUCGAAGUCGACUAGAUUCCUUGAAAUAAAACAAGCUUCGUAGAUUGCUGGCGAACACCAAUUUUGUUUUUGUGGAGGAUAUCUUUAUUAUAUUGCUUACCAUAGGUCGAAAGUCGUAAAUUGAUGUAUUUUUCAAUGAUCUGUUUGAUAAGCUGUGAUGAAUGUAGAUCUUCAGUUAUUGCUUCGUGAUCAACAUCAUGCUCGUUGAGUUCAGGAAACAAGCUCUUUUCUGCAAGCUCUUGGUUAAUAAGAUGAACCAUUAUAGUCUUCAAGUUUCUCCUGC